GGGAAGGGCGAGUCCCGCUCUCGCGAGACUUGGCGGGCGGAGGGGAAGGGCCGCGGCGGGUUAAUGGCGGGUGAGGGGAGGGCAUGGCGGGCCCGCUGUGUGCGGCUCCCUCAGCCGCCCUCGGGCUCCCUCACCGCCCCACAGCGCGGGGAGCCUCGCAGGGAGGCCACGCGCAGCGUUCUGGCUGGAUAUGGCCGUCGUAGUGGUGUCAGGCGGCCGUUUAGUGCCACCCAGCGCCCUCAGGAGCAGCCCGGCGGUGAUGGGGGGUCGGUGCCCCCUCAGAGCACGGGAAGGGUUUCAGGUGUAGUGAUCCAAAUAUAACCCACGUAGGUGGUUUGGGAAAAAGUUCUUGGAAGGCCACGCAUUAAAAAAAAAAAAAUUGAGGAAUGGCCCUUUGAGAUAUAUAAAAUAUCUAUAUAUUUAUAUAGAUAUAUAUUCUACAUCUCUAAAACUAUAUUUCACAUACUUUUGCAAGUUUUUUUUUAGUAAUCUUUUCCUAAAGUAAUUUUUAAAGUGUUGAAGUUUCUCCUUUUGAAGAUGCUGUGGGUCCUCGGUACUCUGAGCAUAUUCAUAAUCUUUAUGUGCACUGUUAUCUUUGAGGUCUUUUUCAACCUAAAUUAUUCUAUUUUCUACUAAUUUGGAAAAAAAACUGCACUAGAAAGUGACUAAAUGAUCAUUGUUCCUUAGAUCUUUUCCAGCCUUAAAAAUUCUUUGAUCUGUUUUUAUUUCCCUGACCAGGUUCAUUACUGUGACCUCGAAGGGAAGGCAACAAAAGUUCUCAAAAGCUCUAAAAACUGCAGCUGCACCAAUUGAAAAUGGGAAUAACUCCACAGAGCCCCUCAUCUGCCGUGCCCACACCGCAGGAGUGAGGGAGGAGUCACCCGAGGCCACCGAGGCCGUUUGAUCUUAUCUAAGAUCUGGUGCCCGAUGGGUUUCAAACAGCUCCAGCAUGUGGAACAAAAUCCUGGAGUCAUCCUUGGAAUGGCCUCUUUCCUCCAAGGACACAGUGACACAAAAGCAAAGGAACAAAAAGAGAGGCAAUCCUGCAAGAAAGACAGCUGGAACACGUGGCUGAGAUACAACCUCCCUCUGGAUGGAGCUGGUUUAGGGCCUUUCAGCACCUUCAACUUCCUUGACUAAACUCCCACAUGGUCAGUUAACAAGGAUGGAGAUGUUUCUUCUCCCUACAAGUCCUACAAAGUUGGAAAUUUGGAAUUUAUUUUGCAGGCUUGGAGGGAGAGUGGUGCUUGGUUUAUUUUAUCGUCACUGGUUGUGAUCUGUGUCCUUGUUCCACUGCAGUGUCAUGAGAUAAUUAAUACUAAAACACCGCUAUUUUUUAUUUUACAUGUUUCUCAUGCCUUUAAAAUCAGUAGAAGAGGGCUGAUGACAUUGCACAGGGGAAAACAGAAUUUAAUAAAUUCUUUUUGCAUCGGGAAUUACUUGGCAAAGCUGAUGGUGCACAGGGGACCAACUCCAAGAUGAAAACCAAGCCUUGCUGAAAUCUGAAAGCACAGAUUGCACCCUGGAUGAAUGUGGGCAGGAGCUGGAUGAAUAAAGAGGUAUUAAUUCUUACUGCAUCUACCAUUGAAAUGGAAUAGAAGUGGGCAACUGUUCAAAAGCAAAGUAGGAUGGAAUUAAUCUGGUUUUCUCGUGACCUUUUUUUUUUAGGGCUUCACUCACAGCAACAGUUCACCUAAAUCCACUUAAAAUACUUGCUGUAACAGGAAAAAAAAAAAAAAAAACCCACCUUUGUCAUGCAGACAAAGGCAGGACAUCUAAGAAAAACAAUUUGAGAAACCCCCCACCAGAAAACUCACCCUGGUAUUGGACUUCUGAAACAGGUUCCAAAGAGCAACUCCAAAUGUGUAGGAUAAGAUCAAGGCAUCAAUACAUAAUGCUUGUUCUCCACCAGUGAGAUUUUAAUUUAUCCUGUCAACAUGAGCUAAUUAAUAAUUAAAAAGCGCACUGUGAUCAUUAUGUGGGAGGUUCUAUAAAAUGAAAAUUCAAGCAAUUUGAGAGGCAGGAGAUGCCUGUUUAUUAAAAAAACACAUUUGGGGAUUUACUCUAUUACUGUUUCAAUUACAGUUUCAGCAGCAAGAUUUUGAUGUGCAUUUAAGCAUUCUAGAAGCUGUGACUGCCCCAUCCCUGAAAGUGUCCAAGGCCAGGUUGGAGCAACCUGGGAGUGUCCCAGACGUCCCUGCCCAUGGCAGAGGGUGGAAUGAGAUGAUAUUUGAUCCCAACCAUUCUGUGAUUCCUGUUGGUGAUCUUCUGACUCUGCAUCUUCUCUUGAUUCCUCAUGUGGGAAGUCUCAUGUUGUCCUUCUCACAUUAGUAUUCUUUUUAAUCCAA